rnacentral:rRNA from 1 species
UACGUAGGUGGCAAGCGUUGUCCGGAAUUAUUGGGCGUAAAGCGCGCGCAGGCGGUCCUUUAAGUCUGAUGUGAAAGCCCACGGCUCAACCGUGGAGGGUCAUUGGAAACUGGGGGACUUGAGUGCAGGAGAGAAGAGUGGAAUUCCACGUGUAGCGGUGAAAUGCGUAGAUAUCAAGAGGAACACCUGAGGUGAAGACGGGUUGCUGGGCUGAUACUGACGCUGAGGCGCGAAAGCUAGGGUAGCAAACGGG